rnacentral:lncRNA from 1 species
UAAGUUUGAAAUAACACAUUUUAAGGUCAAGGGCCUUCGCCAAAAAGAAGAGUUCAACCUCGAUCGAACAACGAUGGAUUACUAUUUCGAUAUGUUCGAAAUAACACCCUUUAAGGCCAGGGACCUUCGCCAAAAAGAAGAGUUCGACCUCGAUCGAACGACAAUGGGUUACUAUUUCGAUAAGUUCGAAAUACACCCUUUAAGGCCAGGGGCCUUCGCCAAAAAGAAGAGUUCGACCUCGAUCGAACGAUGACAGGUUACUAUUUCGAUAAGUUCGAAAUAACACCCUUGAAGGCCAGGGGCCUUCGCCAAAAAGAAGAGUUCGACCUCGAUCGAACGAUGAUGGGUUACUAUUUUGAUACCUCGAUCGAACGAUGAUGGGUUACUAUUUUGAUAAGUUCGAAAUAACACCCUUUAAGGCCAGGGGCCUUCGCCAAAAAGAAGAGUUCGACCUCGAUUGAACGACGACGGGUAACUAUUUUGAUAAGUUCAAAAUAACACCCUUUAAGGCCAGGGGCCUUCGCCAAAACGAAGAGUUCGACCUCUAUCGAACGACGGCAGGUUACUAUUUGGAUAUGUUCGAAAUAACACCCUUUAAGGCCAGGGGCCUUCGCCAAAAAGAAGAGUUCUACCUCGAUCGAACGACGACGAGUUAUUAUUACGAUAAGUUAGAAAUAACACCCUUUAAGGCUAGGGGAACUUCGCCAAAAAGAAGAGUUCAACUUCUAUCGAACGACGACGGGUGACUAUUUCGAUAAGUUCGAAAUAACACCCUUUAAAGCCAGAGGCCUUCGCCAAAAAGAAGAGUUCGACCUCGAUCAUACGACGACGGGUUACUAUUUCGAUAAGUUCGAAAUAACACCCUUUAAGGCCAGGGGCCUUCGCCAAAAAGAAGAGUUCGACCUCAAUCGAACGACAACAGGUUACUAUUUCGAUAAGUUCAAAAUAACACCAUGUAAGGCCAUGGGCCUUCGCCAAAAAGAAGAGUUCGACCUCGAUCGAACGACGACGGUUAUUAUUUCGAUAAGAUCGAAAUAACACCCUUGAAGGUCAGGGGCCUUCGCCAAAAAGAAGAGUUCGACUUCGAUAGAAUGACGAUGGGUUACUAUUUUGAUAAGUUCAAAAUAACACCCUUUAAGGCCAGGGGCCUUCGCCAAAAAGAAGUGUUCGACCUCGAUCGAACGACGAUGGCUUACUAUUUCGAUAAGUUCGAAAUAACACCGUUGAAGUCCAGGGGCCUUCACCAAAAAGAAGAGUUCGCCCUCGAUAGAAUUAUGACAGGUGACUAUUUCGAUAAGUUCGAAAUAACACCCUUAAAGGCCAUGGGCUUUCGCCAAAAAGAAGAGUUCGACCUCAAUCGAACGACGAUGGCUUAUUAUUAUGAUAAGUUCGAAAUAACACCCUUGAAGGCCAGGGGCCUUCGCCAAAAAGAAGAGUUCGACGUCGAUCGAACGACAACAGGUUACUCAUUCGAUAAGUUCAAAAUAACACCAUGUAAGGCCAUGGGCCUUCGCCAAAAAGAAGUGUCUCACCUCGAUCGAACGGCGAUGGAUUACUAUUUCGAUACGUUCGAAAUAACACCCUUUAAGGCCAAUGGCCUUCGCAAAAAAAAAGAGUUCGAUCUCGAUCGAACGACGACGGGUUACUAUUUCGAUAAGUUCGAAAUAACACCCUUUAAGGCUAGUGGAACUUCGCCAAAAAGAAGAGUUCGACCUCGAUCGAACGACGAUGGCUUACUAUUUCGAUAAGUUCGAAAUAACACCCUUUAAGGCCAGGGACUUCGCCAAAAAGAAGAGUUCUACCUCGAUCGAACGACGACGGGUUACUAUUUCGAUAAGUUCGAAAUAACACCUUAUAAGGCCAGGGGCCUUCGCCAAAAAGAAGAGUUCGACCUCGAUCGAACGACAAUGGGUUACUAUUUCGAUAAGUUAGAAAUAACACCCCUUAAGGCUAGGGGCCUUCGCCAAAAAGAAGAGUUCGACCUCGAUCGAACGACGAUGGGGUUCUACUUUGAUAAGUUCGAAAUAGCACCCUUAAAGGCUAGCCUUCGCCAAAAAGAAGAGUUCGACCUCGAUCGAAUGAUGACGAGUUACUAUUUCGAUAACUUUGAUAUAACACAUUUUAAGGCCAAGGGCCUUC